GACGAACGCUGGCGGCGCGCUUAACACAUGCAAGUCGAACGGAAAGGCCUGCUUUACCUUGUGGUUUGCGGGUACCCGCGGGGCCAACGGGUGGUUAACCCGAUAGUAAUCUGCCAUCAACUUGGAUAUAAGCCUGGGAAAUUGGGUCUAAUUCCCGAUACGACUGCCGGGUGCUUCCGAAUGUGGAAAACGAUUUUCUAGUGGUGGGGGAUGAGCUCGCGGCCUAUCAGCUUGUUGGUGGGGUAGUGGCCUACCACGACGGGGACAGGUAGGCUGCCUGAGAGGAUGGACGGCAAAAUUGAACCGGAGAUACGUCCAAAACUCCUACGGGAGGCAGCAGUGGGGAAUAUUGCCCAAUGGGGGGAAGCCUGACGCGGCGACGAGGGGUGGGGGAUGCCGGCCUUCGGGUUGUAAACUCCUUUCGAACGGGAAGAAGGCAGCUGAUUGGUAGGUUGGUGACGGUAGUGGAAGAAGAAGCACCGGCUAACUACGUG
rnacentral:rRNA from 1 species